GACGAACGCUGGCGGCGCGCCUGACACAUGCAAGUCGAACGAGCGAGAGAGAGCUUGCUUUCUCGAGCGAGUGGCGAACGGGUGAGUAACGCGUGAGGAACCUGCCUCAAAGAGGGGGACAACAGUUGGAAACGACUGCUAAUACCGCAUAAGCCCACGGCUCGGCAUCGAACAGGGGGAAAAGGAGCAAUCCGCUUUGAGAUGGUCUCGCGUCCGAUUAGCUAGUUGGUGAGGUAACGGCCCACCAAGGCGACGAUCGGUAGCCGGACUGAGAGGUUGAACGGCCACAUUGGGACUGAGACACGGCCCAGACUCCUACGGGAGGCAGCAGUGGGGAAUAUUGCACAAUGGGGGAAACCCUGAUGCAGCGACGCCGCGUGGAGGAAGAAGGUCUUCGGAUUGUAAACUCCUGUUGUUGGGGAAGAUAAUGACGGUACCCAACAAGGAAGUGACGGCUAACUACGUGCCAGCAGCCGCGGUAAAACGUAGGUCACAAGCGUUGUCCGGAAUUACUGGGUGUAAAGGGAGCGCAGGCGGGAAGACAAGUUGGAAGUGAAAUCUAUGGGCUCAACCCAUAAACUGCUUUCAAAACUGUUUUUCUUGAGUAGUGCAGAGGUAGGCGGAAUUCCCGGUGUAGCGGUGGAAUGCGUAGAUAUCGGGAGGAACACCAGUGGCGAAGGCGGCCUACUGGGCACCAACUGACGCUGAGGCUCGAAAGUGUGGGUAGCAAACAGGAUUAGAUACCCUGGUAGUCCACACCGUAAACGAUGAUUACUAGGUGUUGGAGGAUUGACCCCUUCAGUGCCGCAGUUAACACAAUAAGUAAUCCACCUGGGGAGUACGACCGCAAGGUUGAAACUCAAAGGAAUUGACGGGGGCCCGCACAAGCAGUGGAGUAUGUGGUUUAAUUCGACGCAACGCGAAGAACCUUACCAAGUCUUGACAUCCCUUGACAGGCAUAGAAAUAUGUUUUCUCUUCGGAGCAAGGAGACAGGUGGUGCAUGGUUGUCGUCAGCUCGUGUCGUGAGAUGUUGGGUUAAGUCCCGCAACGAGCGCAACCCUUAUGGUCAGUUACUACGCAAGAGGACUCUGGCCAGACUGCCGUUGACAAAACGGAGGAAGGUGGGGAUGACGUCAAAUCAUCAUGCCCUUUAUGACUUGGGCUACACACGUACUACAAUGGCGUUAAACAAAGAGAAGCAAGACCGCGAGGUGGAGCAAAACUCAGAAACAACGUCCCAGUUCGGACUGCAGGCUGCAACUCGCCUGCACGAAGUCGGAAUUGCUAGUAAUCGUGGAUCAGCAUGCCACGGUGAAUACGUUCCCGGGCCUU
rnacentral:rRNA from 1 species